GAUGAAGAACGUAGCAAAAUGCGAUAAGUAAUGUGAAUUGCAGAAUUCAGUGAAUCAUCGAAUCUUUGAACGCACAUUGCGCCCGCUGGUAUUCCGGCGGGCAUGCCUGUUCGAGCGUCAUUUCAACCCUCAAGCCCCCGGGUUUGGUGUUGGGGAUCGGCUCUGCCUUCUGGCGGUGCCGCCCCCGAAAUACAUUGGCGGUCUCGCUGCAGCCUCCAUUGCGUAGUAGCUAACACCUCGCAACUGGAACGCGGCGCGGCCAUGCCGUAAAACCCCAACUUCUGAAUGUUGACCUCGGAUCAGGUAGGAAUACCCGCUGAACUUAAGCAUAUCAAAGCGGAGGA
rnacentral:misc_RNA from 1 species